rnacentral:rRNA from 1 species
CAGUAGCCACGGGAAUACGUAGGGUGCAAGCGUUAUCCGGAAUUACUGGGCGUAAAGCGUGCGCAGGCGGUUCGUUAAGACAGAUGUGAAAUCCCCGGGCUUAACCCGGGAACUGCAUUUGUGACUGGCGAGCUAGAGUAUGGCAGAGGGGGGUAGAAUUCCACGUGUAGCAGUGAAAUGCGUAGAGAUGUGGAGGAAUACCGAUGGCGAAGGCAGCCCCCUGGGCCAAUACUGACGCUCAUGCACGAAAGCGUGGGGAGCAAACAGGAUUAGAUACCCCAGUAGUCCCUGUCUCUUAUAC